rnacentral:misc_RNA from 1 species
GUGAAUUUUCAGGUGGCUUGAUUAACCGUCAAGUCAUCUAUCACUAUUUUUCACACACUUGUGCAUCAGUUUAAAGCGGCAAUCUUUCCGGUUGCUGUUUUUUUACACGCUUGUGAAUUUUAAAAAGUUGGUUUCAAUUUGAAUAAAGAAAGUA